UGCGGUCUCAUGAUGGAGGACCAUGUCACACUAGGGACUUGAGACACGGCCCAGACUCCUACGGGAGGCAGCAGUGGGGAAUUUUCCGCAAUGGGCGAAAGCCUGACGGAGCAAUACCGCGUGAGGGAGGAAGGCUCUUGGGUUGUAAACCUCUUUUCUCAGGGAAUAAGAAAGUGAAGGUACCUGAGGAAUCAGCAUCGGCUAACUCCGUGCCAGCAGCCGCGGUAAUACGGAGGAUGCAAGCGUUAUCCGGAAUGAUUGGGCGUAAAGCGUCCGCAGGUGGUUGCUCAAGUCUGCUGUCAAAGAGUCUGGCUCAACCAGAUAAAGGCAGUGGAAACUGAGAGACUAGAGUGCGGUAGGGGCAGAGGGAAUUCCUGGUGUAGCGGUGAAAUGCGUAGAGAUCAGGAAGAACACCGGUGGCGAAAGCGCUCUGCUGGACCGCAACUGACACUGAGGGACGAAAGCUAGGGGAGCGAAUGGGAUUAGAUACCCCAGUAGUCA
rnacentral:rRNA from 1 species